rnacentral:ncRNA from 2 species
AUAAAGUCUACUCUCCGAGCCGAUCAACCUAACGAGAAAUCCAUGGUUCAUUGGCCAGGGCUUUAACGCCCUCGGGGUAUGUCUAGAAAUGGGCAUGCCUUCACAUUUUGAAAAGGAGGUGGUCGCAUGGAUUGA